rnacentral:rRNA from 1 species
AUACGGAGGGGGCUAGCGUUGUUCGGAAUUACUGGGCGUAAAGCGCACGUAGGCGGAUUGAUCAGUCAGGGGUGAAAUCCCGAGGCUUAACCUCGGAACUGCCUUUGAUACUGUCAAUCUUGAGUUCGAGAGAGGUGAGUGGAAUUCCUAGUGUAGAGGUGAAAUUCGUAGAUAAUAGGAAGAACACCAGUGGCGAAGGCGGCUCACUGGCUCGAUACUGACGCUGAGGUGCGAAAGCGUGGGGAGCAAACAGGAUUAGAAACCCUAGUAGUCC